GCUUGUUUGUGGGAAAAAAUUAGGGGUUGGGUUACAGAGAGGCUGAGGUAGCGAGAGAGGAGAGGAUGGCUUGUUGGGUCCUGUAAGGGUCGAGGGGAAAUGGUGUUGGGCAGGGGGAACUGUGGGAAGAGAGAGAUGGUCGGGGCUCCCUUUGUUUCUCUAGUUUCGGCUGGGGAAAGGAGCGGCUGCUUUGGAUGAGAGUUGAGG
rnacentral:lncRNA from 1 species